CCUACGGGUGGCAGCAGUGGGGAAUAUUGCACAAUGGGGGAAACCCUGAUGCAGCGACGCCGCGUGAGUGAAGACGUACUUCUGUAUUUUAAGCCCUAUCAGCAGGGAAGAAAAUGACGGUACCUGUCUAAGAAGCCCCGGCUAACUACGUGCCAGCAUCCGCGGUAAUACGUAGGGGGCAAGCGUUAUCCGGAUUUACUGGGUGUAAAGGGAGCGUAGACGGCCAGACAAGUCAGAAGUGAAAGCCCAGGGCUCAACCCUGGGACUGCUUUUGAAACUGGCGGGCUGGAGUGCAGGAGAGGUAGGCGGAAUGCGUGGUGUAGCGGUGAAAUGCGUAGAUAUUAGGAGGAACACCAGUGGCGAAGGCGGCUUAC
rnacentral:rRNA from 1 species